AGUUCCAGGAGCGGGACACGCGCACACCCUUGAAUCUACACUCGAGCGCGGAUGCACUGUGGGCAAACGCCGCCCUUCGUGACCGCACCUCCUCUCUCACGUUCGGUGGGCCGCAAAAGCGCCUGCCCCAGCACGCGCACGUGUAGGGCGCAGUGAGUGCAGCGGGCCUCUUGCCCUUCUUUCUACUUCAUAGACUCACCCACAUUCUCAUCACGCACAGAGACUACGCGUGAGCGCCAAAGGCGUACCUCUCUAUUUCCUUGGCAUACACUGCAAGUGGGCUCGUUAUGCGUCAGACCACUUUCGAGCGCUUCGUUGAACACAAGGCCCAGGAAGGCGGUCCGAGUGGGACCGCCGCCCCGCGUGAGGAAGGCAAGAAGGCAACUACCGAUGCAAACCGCGAAGAUCGAAAGCGGCCCCGGGAGGAGGAGAAGGUAGCGGGCUCUUAUGUAUCGAGCACUCCGGCCUCGAACGCCGCCUCUCGUCUGCGGACAAGCUGGAAUGAGCCAACGAAUGCCUACUACGCACAACACGUUGCAGAAUACAAGGCGCUGGUCGCUGAUGUGCCGCCGCCGACGGCGACGUCCAUGGCGAAACUCUUCCAGGAGUCCUCCUUCGAUCCUGUGACGACGUUCGAGGCAGUAUGGUUGCCUCCCCGGGUCCCUGUCGCGCCGCCUACCGCUGGCGCAUCUGAGCCGGUGCCGUUUGCGGCAGUAGUGGACGUGCUGGCAGACAUCAGCGCCACCGGCUCGCGGCUUGAGUGCUUGAAGCAGCUCACCUUUCUUCUGCUUGCUGUUAUCGAGCGGUGCCCAGAGGACUUGGUGCCGGUGAUGUACCUGGUGAUUAACAAGCAUGCGCCGCAGCACGAGGGCGUGGAGCUAGGCAUCGGCGAUGCGGUACUGGUGAAGGCGGUGGCCGAGUGCUGCGGCAUGACGGAGGCCCGAGCCAAAGAGGCGUACCGGCAGAGCGGCGAUUUGGCGGAAAUCGCGCAGAUGCACAAGCAGAAGCAAAGCACGCUCAUGAAGCCGAAGCCGCUCUCCGCUCGGAGCGUGUUCAAGACAUACAAGGAGAUCGCGAUGAUGAGCGGCAGGGAUGUGAUGCGGCGGCGGUCAGACUUGAUCAAGGGACUUUUGCGCGACGCACAGGGCCCGGAGGUGAACUUGAUUGUGCGUGGGCUUCAGCAGAAGAUGCGCAUCGGCCUUGCUGAGCCAUCCGCCUUGGCAGCUGUGGGGUACGCCUUCGCUCUUCACUUCCUCGGAGGCGCGCAAAUGCACAAGAUGGACGAGGUGCAGCUGCAGACGUUGCUGAAUACCGGCGCCGACAGUCUCGCGCGUAUCUUCUACGAGGUGCCGAGUCUCGACGUGGUCCUGAGCGCCGUUCUUGCGAACGGCUUCAUGACCUUGGUGCCGGGUAGCUCCAUCGCGAAACGGUAUGCGAAGGACUUGUCUAUUCGGCCUGGGCUGCCAGUGAAGCCCCAGCUAGCGUACCCGACGAGCAGUAUCACCGUCAUUCUGGACCGUCUGCAGGGCAAGAAGUUCACGUCGGAGUACAAGUACGACGGCGAGCGCGCGCAGAUCCACUAUGACAAAGACAAAGGCUUCCAUAUAUUUUCUCGCAACUCCGAGACCCACACCGGCAAAUACCCGGACGUCAUUUCCAUGCUGCCAAAGGUCUUUGACCCAGUCGAAGUACAGUCUUUCAUCCUCGAUUCGGAGGUUGUGGCGGUGCAUCCGGAGACCGGGGCCCUUCAGGCAUUCCAAGUGCUGCAGCAUCGCGGCCGAAAGAACAUUGCAGAGGAGGAUGUCAGCAUUCCCGUCUGCGUGUUUGUGUUUGAUAUCUUGUAUUUCAACGGAGAGCCGCAACUGAAUAAGACACUGCAGCAGCGUCGCGAGCUGCUGUGGCGGUGCAUCCAUCCCCUUCCGGCAAAGCUGUCCUUUGCCACUUACUUGGAUUCCGACAAGGUCGAGGACAUGCAAACGUUUUUGGAGAGGUCCAUCGCGGACGGCUGCGAAGGAUUAAUGGUGAAGACGCUCGAUGAGGAGGCCAACUACACCCCCGCCAAGCGCUCGCACUACUGGCUGAAGCUGAAGAAGGACUACAUGGACGGCGUCACCGAUACGCUGGAUCUUGUCCCCAUCGCCGCGUUCCACGGCAAGGGCAAGCGAACUGGCGUGUUCGGCGGCUUCCUGCUGGCGUGCUACGACCCGAAGGCGGACGAGUACCAGAGCAUCUGCAAAAUCGGCACCGGCUUCCAGGACGAAGAGCUGGAGAAGCUCACGCAGUCCCUUAAGCCGUUCGUGGUGGACGACAAGCCGCGCUACUACCGCGCAGGUGGGGAGGAGCCGGAUGUUUGGCUCACCGAGGCGCAGGUGUGGGAGGUGAAGGCGGCGGACCUGUCAGUGUCGCCAGUUCAUCAGGCAGCCGUGGGGCUUGUGGACCCCAGCAAAGGCAUCGCGCUGCGCUUUCCUCGCUACCUGCGCCAGCGCGAGGACAAGAAACCCGCAGACGCCACAAAUGCACAGCAGGUGGCGGACAUGUACAAGGCGCAGUCCUUGGCAGUGCAGCACGAAGCGAACGGGGACGCCGAGUGAGCUGUCACGCUGAAAGAGACGCGCUGGCGCAUCUCGCGAUCGCUCUUUGUCGCCAAAGUCUCUCUCGUUGCGAGCGGCGUUCUUGGCCACAUUUGCUUUCUUCUUCACUUAUCCUGCAGCGCACAUGCAGCGUGGGCGUCAAGUCGGAGGCGCCCUGAGAGGUCCGCGGUGAAUAACCCCAUCAUAGCCGCGCGUUCCCACC
rnacentral:misc_RNA from 1 species